UACAGAGGUGGCAAGCGUUGUUCGGAAUUACUGGGCGUAAAGGGCGCGUAGGCGGUUUCGUAAGUCCCGUGUGAAAGCCCCCGGCUCAACUGGGGAAUUGCACGGGAAACUGCGAGGCUUGAGUUCGGGAGAGGGAAGCGGAAUUCCGGGUGUAGCGGUGAAAUGCGUAGAUAUCCGGAGGAACACCGGUGGCGAAGGCGGCUCCUGGACCGAUACUGACGCUGAGGCACGAAAGCGUGGGGAGCAAACAGG
rnacentral:rRNA from 1 species